rnacentral:misc_RNA from 1 species
CAUUAUCGUACAACCGAGGUGCGAGGGCUGUCGCUGACCUUCAAAGGUCGUGCACGCCCAAGCGCUCUCACACAAUCCAUCUCACCCCUUUUGUGCAUCACCGCGUGGGCCCCUCUUUGCAAAGGAGGGCUUGCGUUUUCACAUAAAACUCGAUACAGUGUAGAAUGUUUUUCUUUUGCGGUCACACGCAAUCAAUACAACUUUCAACAACGGAUCUCUUGGCUCUCGCAUCGAUGAAGAACGCAGCGAAAUGCGAUACGUAAUGUGAAUUGCAGAAUUCAGUGAAUCAUCGAAUCUUUGAACGCACCUUGCGCCCCUUGGCAUUCCGAGGGGCACACCCGUUUGAGUGUCGUGAAAUCAUCAAAACCCCUUUCUUUGAUCCCUUUCGUGGUCGGGAAAAGGGAUUUUUGGACUUGGAGGUCUCAUGCUCGCUUUCGCUUUCGAAAGCGAGCUCCUCUUAAAUGAAUUAGUGGGGUCUGCUUUGCUGGUCCUUGGCGUGAUAAGAUGUUUCUACGUUUUGGAUUUGGCACUGUUCCUCGGAUGCCUGCUUCUAACCGUCUCUCUCGAGACAAUGAUGGUGUUUCGGUCACCGGCCAAUACUACGUUGGCGGGGGGGAGGCUGGACCCACAAAAAGAAAAGACCUUGACCUCAAAUC